CCAGCAGCUGCGGUAAUUCCGGCUCCAAUAGCGUAUAUUAAAGUUGUUGCAGUUAAAAAGCUCGUAGUUGGAUUUCUGGCAGGAGCGACCGGUCUCACACUCUGUGUGAGAACUCGUGUUGUCUCUGGCCAUCCUUGGGGAGAUCCUGUUUGGCAUUAAGUUGUCGGGCAGGGGAUACCCAUCGUUUACUGUGAAAAAAUUAGAGUGUUUAAAGCAGGCUUAUGCCGUUGAAUAUAUUAGCAUGGAAUAAUAAGAUAGGACUUUGGUACUAUUUUGUUGGUUUGUGCACCAGAGUAAUGAUUAAUAGGGACAGUUGGGGCUAUUCGUAUUCCAUUGUCAGAGGUGAAAUGCGUGGAUUCACGCAAGAUAAACUUCUGCUAAAGCCUGCGGCACGGAUGUUUUCAC
rnacentral:rRNA from 1 species